CAAGUGUAUUGUGCUUUCAUAGACUUCUGGGGAGUGGCUUCAGAGAUGGAUCCUGAGCUGGUCAUUCAACUUGGGAACAGAAACCAUGCCAUGUGAUUUAGUUAGACAGUCAUCGAGCUCCAAUACUGGACAUCGAAUACUGCAUGUAUCACUUGCUAUGACUACUACUUGAAAAAUCCAACAGGAUGAAACCUGUUUCUAAAAAUUAUAGGAACAAUGAAAUCGUGAUCAGCUUGUGGAGAGUUGAAAUACAAAAGAGGGCUGAAUCCAAGGUAUACAGGGCUGAUCCAAACAGCUGGACUUACCAGUCCAAACAUGCAUCUUCAAUCUAGACAAGCUUCAUUUGUGAUUAAAAAAAAUACCAGCAAAGAAAAAAGUA